UACGUAGGGGGCAAGCGUUGUCCGGAAUCAUUGGGCGUAAAGCGCGUGUAGGCGGCUCGGUAAGUCCGCUCUGAAAGUCGGGGGCUCAACCCUCGGAUGCGGGUGGAUACUGCCGGGCUAGAGUGCGGAAGAGGCGAGUGGAAUUCCUGGUGUAGCGGUGAAAUGCGCAGAUAUCAGGAGGAACACCAAUUGCGAAGGCAGCACUCUGGGACGUGACUGACGCUGAGACGCGAAAGCGUGGGGAGCAAACAGG
rnacentral:rRNA from 1 species